GCUAUUUUGGCAGAUAAUUGUAUUAAAUUUAGAAUUUAAAUAUAUAAUUUUUAUUAUAAAUAGUA
rnacentral:tRNA from 1 species